rnacentral:rRNA from 1 species
AUAUUGCGCAAUGGAGGGAACUCUGACGCAGCGACGCAGCGUGAGCGAUGAAGGUCUUNGGAUCGNANAGCACUGUCCGUGGGGGNGCAGGUCUUCGGUCUUGACGGUACCUAAGGAGGAAGCCCCUGGUAACUACGUGCCAGCCGCCGCGAGAAUACGUAGGGGGCAAGCGUUGUGCGGAAUUAUUGGGCGUAAAGGGUACGUAGGCGGCUUUAUAAGUCCGGUAUGAAAUACCAGUGCUUAACACUGGAAUUGCAUUUGAAACUGUGGAGCUUGAGUGCAGGAGAGGAAAGUGGAAUUCCUAGUGUAGCGGUGAAAUGCGUAGAGAUUAGGGGGAACACCAGUGGCGAAGGCGACUUUCUGGACUGUAACUGACGCUGAGGUACGAAAGCGUGGGUAGCGAACA